rnacentral:rRNA from 1 species
CCUACGGGUGGCAGCAGUGGGGAAUAUUGGACAAUGGGCGAAAGCCUGAUCCAGCCAUGCCGCGUGUGUGAAGAAGGCCUUCGGGUUGUAAAGCACUUUCAGUGGGGAAGAAAGCCUUGGGGCUAAUACCCUCGAGGAAGGACAUCACCCACAGAAGAAGCACCGGCUAACUCCGUGCCAGCAGCCGCGGUAAUACGGAGGGUGCGAGCGUUAAUCGGAAUUACUGGGCGUAAAGCGCGCGUAGGCGGUCUGAUAAGCCGGUUGUGAAAGCCCCGGGCUCAACCUGGGAACGGCAUCCGGAACUGUCAGGCUAGAGUGCAGGAGAGGAAGGUAGAAUUCCCGGUGUAGCGGUGAAAUGCGUAGAGAUCGGGAGGAAUACCAGUGGCGAAGGCGGCCUUCUGGACUGACACUGACGCUGAGGUGCGAAAGCGUGGGUAGCAAACAGGAUUAAUACCCGGGUAGUC